rnacentral:lncRNA from 1 species
GCCAGGGCGGGCAGGGCGGGUCAGUUCUGGCUCCGUCUGGAGGCCUUUCCCAGGCUGUGCCGGUGCUCAGGCUACCCGCACCUCUGUCGCCUCACGCCCUGGCUCCCAGGGUCAGGACAGAGCUGCGGUUUGUGGAACCGUGGGUUAGCGGAACACAUUCCAUUCCCGGGCGCUCUGUGCGUCCACAGGGACCGGCCACUGUGGGAAAGCUCACCCAGACCAACCACUGUCGUGCAGCCUGGGCGAGUCGCGGGGCUCUCUGGGUGUGAUGCUGGGAGUCUCCGAGGGGCCUGGCCAGACCUCGCCUCCCCAUCUCCUCGUGGGCAGAGGGUGUCUGACGCCCAGGCACAGGUGUGGGGCACGGGCCUGGAGUCCAGCUUUGGCCCAAAGUGCUGAUUAUUCCACACGCUGUGCACCUGCCAAUCAGGGUGUCCCGUCCAGCCAACCAGCUCAGGCCCUCCAGCCACGCAGGCUGGCCGGUCUGCACCGUGCCGGGCACUCCUGCUGGGGCAUCGCCCUGGGCAGCAUGUGCCCAAGUUCAGAGGAGGGACAGAGACAGGGGAGAGACAGGCGGAGAGUCAGAGCCAGAGACAAAGAGGGAGAGACAGAGAGAAAGAGACAGAGACAGGGGAGAGACAGAGACAGGGGAGAGACAGGCGGAGAGUCAGAGCCAGAGACAAAGAGGGAGAGACAGAGACAGAGGAGAGACAGAGACAGAGGAGAGACAGAGACAGAAGGAGAGACAGAGAGGCAGAGACAGAUGGAGAGACAGGCAGAGACAUAGAGAGACAGAAGACAGAGACAGAGAGAGGCAGAAGGAGAGACAGGCAGAGACAGAGACAGGAGAGACAGAGAAAGGGGAGCUAGAGAAAGAGAGAUAGAGGCGGAGCAAGGCGCCUGGAAGGCCCCAGACGUCAUCUGUCCCCCUCUGGCAGUUUGCCCUGAAAUACAGACCCUUCUUCUCCUAGCCCAAGUCGGGAGCGCGGUUCCCACGCUGCAGCACAAUGCCCCACACCGUGAGGGAGCAGCCUGCCCGAGUGCCCCCGACUGCCCCGAGUGCUCCCUGAGUGCCCCCUGACUGCGCCUCUGAGUGCCCCCCGAUUUCCC